GAAUGGUUCCUGACUAAAAUCUAUAUGGCCUCUGGAUUGGACUGCGGCCGAUCAGGCUGUUGGUGAGGUAAUGGCCCACCAAACCUGUAACCGGUACGGGCUCUGAGAGGAGGAGCCCGGAGAUGGGCACUGAGACAAGGGCCCAGGCCCUAUGGGGCGCAGCAGGCGCGAAACCUCUGCAAUAGGCGAAAGCCUGACAGGGUUACUCUGAGUGAUUCCCGCUAAGGGGAUCUUUUGGCACCUCUAAAAAUGGUGCAGAAUAAGGGGUGGGCAAGUCUGGUGUCAGCCGCCGCGGUAAUACCAGCACCCCGAGUGGUCGGGACGUUUAUUGGGCCUAAAGCAUCCGUAGCCGGUCAUGCAAGUCCUCCGUUAAAUCCACCUGCUCAACAGAUGGGCUGCGGAGGAUACUACAAGGCUAGGAGGCGGAAGAGGCAAGCGGUACUCAGUGGGUAGGGGUAAAAUCCUCUGAUCCAUUGAAGACCACCAGUGGCAAAGGCGGCUUGCCAAUACGCGCUCGACGGUGAGGGAUGAAAGCUGGGGGAGCAAACCGGAUUAGAUACCCGGGUAGUCCCAGCUGUAAACGAUGCAGACUCGGUGAUGGGCCGGCUUUAUGCCGGCUCAGUGCCGCAGGGAAGCCGUUAAGUCUGCCGCCUGGGGAGUACGGUCGCAAGACUGAAACUUAAAGGAAUUGGCGGGGGAGCACCACAAGGGGUGAAGCCUGCGGUUCAAUUGGAUUCAACGCCGGA
rnacentral:rRNA from 1 species